UUGAUAGAAGCUGUGCUUAGAGGCAAGUCCGGUGGUGAAGAGGUGCUACAGGAGAACUGAAGAACAGAAACAUUAACAGAUGCUGCAAGAUGGCAAAUGGUGAACGUACUGGUGGCUCACAUGGUUGAUAACCAUGGGCACCUCCCCAUUAAAGCGACCAGAGAAGAGUUUGCUCUUGGUAUCGUGAUGCUGUUCCCUUCCCUCAAGGAUCCAUAUUCCAAGAAAGGCUUUGAACACUUCUUUGAUCCUGGAAGCAACACAGGACACAUUUCUUGGCGUCUGAAAACAGUCCAAAGGCAGAUUUGUCGAGGGUCUGCAACGCCACCAAGUAGCUCCAUUGUCUUUUCUCCAGGAGGCCCAACUUUCCAAAGGAUUGUUAAUGUUGAAGGACAGUGUGGAGUAUAAAGCUGGACUUGUUGUGUGCUGUACA